rnacentral:rRNA from 1 species
CCUACGGGAGGCAGCAGUGAGGAAUAUUGGUCAAUGGACGAGAGUCUGACCCAGCCAAGUCGCGUGAAGGAUGACUGCCCUAUGGGUUGUAAACUUCUUUUAUAAAGGAAUAAAACGAGGCACGUGUGCCUUUUUGCAUGUACUUUAUGAAUAAGGAUCGGCUAACUCCGUGCCAGCAGCCGCGGUAAUACGGAGGAUCCGAGCGUUAUCCGGAUUUAUUGGGUUUAAAGGGAGCGUAGACGGGUUGUUAAGUCAGUUGUGAAAGUUUGCGGCUCAACCGUAAAAUUGCAAUUGAUACUGGCAGGCUGGAGUACAGUUGAGGUAGGCGUAAUUCGUGGUGUAGCGGUGAAAUGCUUAGAUAUCACGAAGAACCCCGAUUGCGAAGGCAGCUUACUAAACUGUGACUGACAUUGAUGCUCGAAAGUGUGGGUAUCAAACAGGAUUAGAUACCCCUGUAGUC